AUGGGUUCGACCUGAGC
rnacentral:rRNA from 2 species